AAAUUGAAUCAAUCGAUGCAGAUGUUCAAAUAAAAACGGAAAGAGAAUGGAAAGAUUUAAUUUUCUACAAGAGCCAACUGUACCUUACUAACGUCACCCUAAACAGCCCCUACACAACAUUGAAAUGUGGGUACGACACUGAAAAUUCAACCGUAAAAGAAAUCUCAUUCGCCAUUAAAGAAAUCGACAGCGACCCAGUGUCUAAUUCAAUCACCCUAGAAAAAGGAAUCGAAAUUUUGUCCUGCAACCGAUUAUCGCAACAUGUUCCUAUUCAUUGGCUCAAGAACGGCAACCAAUACACUGGCACAGUUGACUAGACGGAAACCUGGUCAAUUCUGCCACUAAGAGGAAAAUCAAAGGAAGCUGGAAUCUACGAAUGCCAAUGGAAAAACGGCAGAGGAGAGGCCAGAUACAGAAACUUCAACGUCACUGUCACUUUCGUUGAAGAAGAAACAAAUGCCAUGAUUUUGUCAGUAACUUUCAUCGGAUUAAUUGCAGUCGGAGUGGGCAUCGGAAUUAAACUUUACUUCGACAAAACAAAAGCGGAAAACCAAGUUGAAAAAAUCCUGAAUCCGGGUGAAAUCGACCCGAAUAUUCUGAUUAAAACGGAAUUCCUGCCCUACGACCAAAUAGGAGAAUUUACGAAGAAACGGCUCAGACUCGUUUUGUUGUUCCUCGAUAUUUGAUGCAUUUAAAACAAAAUAAUUUGAAAUUCAUCUGCUGGUAUUGACAGAGAACUCAGCAUGUAACGCAAAAAGGAUUUUGAAUAACCCGUCUGUCAUUUCCAAAAAGGAAGCGUCGCCAUUAAAAACUAAUGUGGCCCCAU